rnacentral:rRNA from 1 species
GUAAACGAUGAGUGCUAAGUGUUGGAGGGUUUCCGCCUUUCAGUGCUGCAGCUAACGCAUUAAGCACUCCGCCUGGGGGAGUACGACCGCAAGGUUGAAACUCAAAAGGAAUUGACGGGGGCCCGCACAAGCGGUGGAGCAUGUGGUUUAAUUCGAAGCAACGCGAAGAACCUUACCAGGUCUUGACAUCCUCUGACAACCCUAGAGAUAGGGCUUUCCCUUCGGGGACAGAGUGACAGGUGGUGCAUGGUUGUCGUCAGCUCGUGUCGUGAGAUGUUGGGUUAAGUCCCGCAACGAGCGCAACCCUUGUCGUUAGUUGCCAUCAUUCAGUUGGGCACUCUAGCGAGACUGCCGGUGACAAACCGGAGGAAGGUGGGGAUGACGUCAAAUCAUCAUGCCCCUUAUGACCUGGGCUACACACGUGCUACAAUGGACGGUACAACGAGCAGCGAACUCGCGAGGGCAAGCGAAUCUCUUAAAGCCGUUCUCAGUUCGGAUUGCAGGCUGCAACUCGCCUGCAUGAAGCCGGAAUCGCUAGUAAUCGUGGAUCAGCAUGCCACGGUGAAUACGUUCCCGGGCCUUGUACACACCGCCCGUCACACCACGAGAGUUUGUAACACCCAAAGUCGGUGCGGUAACCUUUUGGAGCCAGCCGCCUAAGGUGGGAUAGAUGAUUGGGGUG